CCUUUUCAGCACCACUGACAUUUUGGGUUGAUGUCCGUUGCGAAGAACAGCAAUCAAUAUAUUUAGCAGCUUUUUCUGUGCCACAAGGUUUUUUUCUGACUUGUAUUCUUUGCAAAGGAGGAACUCCAGCCAUUUCUGAAUGCUGAGGUUUUCAACUAUAGUUUCUUGUUCUUUCAGAUAUCUACAGAGGAUUCCAACACUUCAGAGACUUAUUCCAGCAAUAAACAUCUAUUAGCAAUGAUGGCAACAGGCCAUAUCUCCCACCUGUAGCCCCAUGUGGUGUACCAAUUAUAUGAAAGCAUACAAAACCUACAUAAUCUCCAGUGUUUUGGCUGUGGCUUCUCAGCACAGAACAGAACAGAGAGACAACCCUGCUGCUGCUUCUGACUCAGCCUCCAGCCUGGGCUCCUUGGAAAUAAGACACUACAGGCAAACCCACCUGUGGCUUCGCAGCAUCCCAGCC
ensembl:lncRNA